UACGAAGGGGGCUAGCGUUGUUCGGAUUUACUGGGCGUAAAGCGCGUGUAGGCGGGUCGUUAAGUUGGGGGUGAAAUCCCGGAGCUCAACUCCGGAACUGCCUCCAAAACUGGCGACCUGGAGCAGAUGAGAGGCGAGUGGAAUUCCGAGUGUAGAGGUGAAAUUCGUAGAUAUUCGGAGGAACACCAGUGGCGAAGGCGACUCGCUGGCAUCUUGCUGACGCUGAGACGCGAAAGCGUGGGGAGCAAACAGG
rnacentral:rRNA from 1 species